GUGGGGAAUAUUGGACAAUGGGGGCAACCCUGAUCCAGCAAUGCCGCGUGAGUGAAGAAGGCCUUAGGGUUGUAAAGCUCUUUUACGCGUGAGGAUGAUGACGGUAGCGCGGGAAUAAGCCCCGGCUAACUCCGUGCCAGCAGCCGCGGUAAUACGGAGGGGGCUAGCGUUGUUCGGAAUUACUGGGCGUAAAGCGCACGCGGGCGGCAUGUGGAGUUGGGCGUGAAAGUCCUGGGCUUAACCUGGGGACUGCGCUUGAUACUGACGUGCUGGAGUCCGGGAGGGGGUGGCGGAAUUCCCAGUGUAGAGGUGAAAUUCGUAGAUAUUGGGAAGAACACCGGUGGCGAAGGCGGCCACCUGGCCCGGGACUGACGCUGAGGUGCGAAAGCGUGGGGAGCAAACAGGAUUAGAAACCCUGGUAGUCC
rnacentral:rRNA from 1 species